rnacentral:tRNA from 1 species
UAUAAGGAAAGAAGAUUUUUUUGUCUAUGUUUUGAAAAUUUUACUGCCCAGUUUUGAAAGAAUGAACCAGGGGCCUUUUUCUUUUGCUAGGAAAAAAGGGCCUGUAGCUCAGAUGGUUAGAGCGUACGACUGAUAAUCGUAAGGUCGGUGGUUCGACUCCACUCAGGCCCAAUUGAUAUUUAAGUAUAUCGUUGGGGGUGUAGCUCAGCUGGGAGAGCAUCUGCCUCGCACGCAGAGGGUCAUCGGUUCGAAUCCGUUCACCUCCAGAUUGUAUAAUUCAGAAAAUUCUGUAUUGUACAUAAGAAGUAGAUAGAUCUUUUAAAACGGUUAAGCCAAAUAAGAGGAUUAUUUGUUUAACAAUUUCACACGAGUAGAAAAAUCUCAUUUAUUUGAUCGAGCGAACAUUUAUUACAUUUAAGGUGUAGUAGGUAAAAUAAUAU